UAAGCAUAUUUAAGGAUUUUUAUUAAUGCCAUGAAUACAUCAUGAUUUUUAUUGCUGUGAACUUUAGAUAACGCGAAACCUUAUUCGGGUAUAGAUCAAGUGACACUCAUGAAGUGAUUUUCAUCUUUAGUUAGUUAUAGCACUUCGUGGUGGCCUUCUUGGUGGUGGAGGUGGUCGUUUCCUUGGUGGCGGAGGUGGAGGUGGUCGUCUCCUUGGUGGCGGAGGUGGAGGUGGUCGUCUCUUUGGUGGCGGAGGUGGAGGUGGUCAUCUCCUUGGUGGCGGAGGUGGAGGUGGUUGUCUCCUUGGUGGCGGAGGUGGAGGUGGUCGUCUCCUAGGCCUUGGUGACGGAGGUGGAGGUGGUGAUCUCCUAGGCCUUGGUGACGGAGGUGGAGGUGGUGAUGAUGGAGGUGGAGGUGGUGGUCCCCUAGGUGAUGGAGGUGGAGGUCUUCUUAUCAAAUUACAUAAUUUGAUUCUAGCAUCAGGGUUAUCAACACAUUGUCCAUUUAAACAAACAAGUUGACCCCUGCAUUCCUCCCGUCUUUGACAUGGCUCAAAGCAACCAAGGAGAGCAUUAGUAGGUAAUG
rnacentral:lncRNA from 1 species